rnacentral:rRNA from 2 species
UACGAAGGGGGCUAGCGUUGCUCGGAAUUACUGGGCGUAAAGGGCGCGUAGGCGGACAUUUAAGUCAGGGGUGAAAUCCCAGAGCUCAACUCUGGAACUGCCUUUGAUACUGGGUGUCUUGAGUGUGAGAGAGGUAUGUGGAACUCCGAGUGUAGAGGUGAAAUUCGUAGAUAUUCGGAAGAACACCAGUGGCGAAGGCGACAUACUGGCUCAUUACUGACGCUGAGGCGCGAAAGCGUGGGGAGCAAAC